rnacentral:rRNA from 1 species
UACGAAGGGGGCUAGCGUUGCUCGGAAUCACUGGGCGUAAAGCGCACGUAGGCGGAUCUUUAAGUCAGGGGUGAAAUCCUGGAGCUCAACUCCAGAACUGCCUUUGAUACUGGGGGAUCUCGAGUCCGGGAGAGGUGAGUGGGAACUCCGAGUGUAGAGGUGAAAUUCGUAGAUAUGGAAGAACACCAGUGGCGAAGGCGGCUCACUGGCCCGGUACUGACGCUGAGGUG